rnacentral:misc_RNA from 1 species
GAUGAAGAACGUAGCGAAAUGCGAUACGUAAUGUGAAUUGCAGAAUUCAGUGAAUCAUCGAAUCUUUGAACGCACCUUGCACCCUUUGGCAUUCCGAAGGGUAUGCUCGUUUGAGUGUCAUUGUACUCUCACACUUCUGAUCCUUUGGAUUGGGAGCGGUGGACUUGGGUGUUGCUGCUUUACUGUGGCUCACCUCAAAUGCAUUCGUGCAACUCUUGGUUGGACAUAGUACGGCGUGAUAAGUAUCUUCGCCGGCACCUCGCAAGAGGGUGGCUGAUCAGGAGCUCUGUGCUUUCCAACUGUCUUCAGACAACAACUGACAACUUGACCUCAAAUCGAGUAGGACCACCCGCUGAACUUAAGCAUAUCAAUAAGCGGAGGA